UGUGCGCGCGCGAUGACUGACUUGGAGUGUGUGUGUGUGUGUGCGUGCGAUGACUGACUUGGAGUGUGUGUGUGCGUGAUGACUGACUUGGAGUGUGUGUGUGCGCGAUGACUGACUUGGGGUGUGUGUGUGUGCGCUGACUGACUUGGGGUGUGUGUGUGUGCACGAUGACUAACUUGGAGAGUGUGUGUGUGCGUGCGUGAUGACUGACUUGGAGUGUGUGUCUGUGUGAUGUCUGACUUGGACUGACGUUUAUCUGACCUUUGGACCAAGACUAACACUCCAAUUGACUUUACUGCACCAGAAAGGUGAACAAAAUUUAUGCUGCAAGACUGGUAAGAUGCGCACCAAUUAGACAACAAGCAAAUUCAAAUUCUUUCAAAAACAGGUACAUUUUUUGCCUUAAGGUAAGAAUUAAAGGCCUUUGCCACAUGAUCUUUGUUGGUAAAUCGUGUCCACUCAAUUUAUAAAGUUAAUUUGCAUCUAAACAUUUACAAUGCCUGACACAAUGGCGUUACAUUAAUCAAAAUGUUUUAGUUUUGCGUUACUGAGUGCAAAGGCCUUUAUUUACACACUGACGCAUGCCAAGAUUGCCGUCAUGGCAUGUGUCACUGUUUCUCUCUCGCUGUUCUGUCUGUCUGUCUCUCUCUCUCUCUCGUUCUCUCAUCUCGCUGGUCUGUCUGUCCUGUGUGUCUUUCUGGCUGUCUCGUGUGUCUGGUCUCUGUCAGUCUGUCCUGUGUGUCUGGUAUCCGUCUGUCUGUCCGGUGUGUUUGAUUUAGUCACUUUUUUUAGUCUCAAUUUAAAUGGAUGAUUUAAAAGUUGAUUAGUGUUGAGGCGUCUGAUUUCUGCAGGAAAUUCUGGUACCUUAUUUUGAAAUGGCUUUAAUUUAAAAAUUUAAUUUUCGUCUUGAAUCUCAGUUAUCAUAGUUGCAACUUGGACUGUUGACGAACGUGGAAGCUGAUGAAUCAUGUAGUAAACGCAUCAAAGUGCUUCUUUCAAAGUGCUGUAAAAAUGUAGUAAUUGAUUAUGAUGAGCUAGACCAGGUCUUCCUUUAUUCUCAACUGGUAAUUGCUUUGAUAAGAUAACUGGUUCCUGAUUUUAUUGUGAAGCUAAACUUUUGAUUUAUAUGCAAGUGUAGUCACAUGAGAUUGUAGGUGUUAUUCAGCCCAUGUAUAAUGUUAUGAUAUACUUUAAAUCUGGCAUUUGUUGGCACACUUUUGAUAUCCAGUCUUAAACUUUACGCACUGUCAUCAGCCUUUGUAGUCGCUAACUGAAAUCGAAUUCAAUAUUAAUGCUGACUUGUCUCACUCCGCCAAGUUUAUUUCCCUCUAAAGGAGUUGAACUUGUUUGUGUUCAUAGUCUUUUUGCGCGUUAUGUUGGGAGGCCUCCCAGCAGGGGAUUUUUAUCUUCCCCUGCAAAACUAUGCGUUACUCGCCUAAGGGAUGCAGGGCUAUCCUGCAUAGUUUCUUUCAAAAAUUAGAUUGUAGGUUGCAGGAUUAGAGCGCGUUUCUUUUCUUUAGGAGGACACAAACCUGGCAGAGAGACAACUCGGAUUAUUUAAGUGAAAGUUGCGCCAAAUGUUCAAACUUUUUAUCAUUCGAUACGAUGACUUGAAAUAAAACCUUUAUUCUGUGGGCUGAAUUCAGACAGAAUUUGGCUUUAUGUUCAAGACUGUUGUGCAAGUACUCUCUUGUAGCAGGAGUGAGCAGCUGCAGCUAUUUAAUUAAUUUUUCGUUAUUUGGUUUGUUUCUUGGAUUGACUUGGUGUCUGGAGCUUUGUGGUUAACAGUGAUCAUGUAAACGUGUAAACACAAGUGGUCUUUUGCCUCUUAUUUGCGAAGCUGGCAGCUGGUUGAAAUGAUAGGACUUUAUGGCUUGCCCAAAGUUGGAUUUAGGGUUAACACCUCACCAUACACUAGCUAUUUCAGCGAACAAGUGUCUGUAGUCCGUUAUUACCCAUGACUUUCUUUCAAAUUUCACAAUUUAGGCAGCUUGUAGAGUCAUUAGGAAGAUGCUUAAUCCCAAUGUCUUGGUUGGUUGCAUGAGAAACUGCUAUCUCUUAGAUGUGUUGGCGAAGUUCCUCCUCUGAUUUUUGUAGACUUGCCCUAAAGUUUCUCUCCGCUUUAACUCUUGUUGAGCUGUGCAUUAAAUGAUUCCUCCAACUUGUCUCCAUAUCAAUUUUUUUCUCCCUGCAGCCUUCCACCACCCACUGCUGCUGUUGCAUCUGCUAAAGGUAGCCGUAUCCUGAUUCACUGCAUCUUCAUGUGUUUGGUUAGAAGUUUCAUUAGACUACUAACAAUGUAAACACCUUUUAAAUGCUUGAUCUAAUUUACCCAAAUGGUUCAUUAGUUUAGGAGAAAAAAAUCAUUGAAUUUGACAUUCUUGGGGUCAGUAACCUGACCUCUAAAUGUUUGGGAAACCAUGCAAAAGAUCGCAAGCUCUCUGCAUGACCCAACAGCAUCGAUGUUUGAGUUAUUUAAUUACUCACUUUUUAAAUCAGUCAAGAUUUUAUGAGCUUCUUCACACAACAGAGAACAAGGUAAAUUGAGUCGACUCGUAACAUGGUAAGGCAUUUUGUCUUUCCCCUUCUUCUCUGUGUGUGAGGAAAUCUGGCCACGGAUCCUGACUGAGUGGCAUACCAUGACUGUGCAGUUUCCAAAAUCAGACAAGGAUCCAUCUGAUUUUGUGACCCGGCCUGUCAUGAUAUGCAUUUAUCUUCCUCCGAAACAAAAGAUUGGAAUGGACAGGUUUGUAGUGUAAAUCACAUCACUUGUAGAUGGUGAAGCAUUUGUUUAAAUUGGGGUCAAGUAUUUUCAGGUGUCUGCUUUGUCAAUACUCUGGUGCCACGUCUUGCUAAACACACGAGAAGCUCUGAAUUGUGAAACUGCUGCCUCUUGCAGAUGUUUCAACAGCAAUGGCUGUUGAAAGGCUGCAGGGAGAGAAAAUGAGAUCUGAGGACAGGAAAGUGGAAUUGAUUUCAUGCUUAGCAAAAUGAGGGUUUCAGCAGAAGACCUUUUUGUGGCGAGGCUACAGAAUCAGAAGGAACUUUUGUCUGGGUAACUGGUAGAUUUACAGUUUUUCAUGCAGCCGACCAAAACAUUGGGGUUAGCAUCAUCCCAAAUGGCUGGCAAAGAUUGCUUGUAACUCUCAGUGUAGGACAGGAAAGGCAGGUAUAGGUUAGGGAGGGCAUCCAUCGGUGAGCUCUGACUGGAUGUGAGGACCUGUCACACUUGACCAGAGAUGAAGGCUGCAGCGCAUUCCUGGAUCAGAGGACUCCAUGUUGGACACCACGACCCGGAGAAGUCCCGUCCUAGAUGGCUGCGGUGAUGACCUAGCCCAAGAUGAACCGACCCUUCUACGACGAGGACUUCGCCCAAGAUGAACCGACCCUUCUACGACGAGGACUUAGCCCAAGAUGAAUCGACCCUUCUACGACGAGGACUUAGCCCAAGAUGAACCGACCCUUCUACGACGAGGACUUCGCCCAAGAUGAACCAACCUUUUCCACAGGAUGUCUUCAGAUGUUGGACCUUGCCAAACUGUACACAUGCCUCAAUGGCUGCUACGUCACUCUGCCCAACAGGACAUGGUCAACGAGAUUUAAACUUUUUUUUUUUUUUAAUGGACUUUAACCCCCCCCCACCUCCCC